ACAUAGCUCCUUCGUGGAUCCUCUUGGGCCUUGUGUUGUUGAGAAUGCCCUUAAAUGGAUGAUCUUUGGACCCCAUUGCAACUAAACUUCGAUUGCAAAGAUUGUACCCAGAAAUGUUAACAACAGUAGAGCUCCGAGUGCAGUUCGUCAGAAGGUAUCCCAAUGCGCAUAUCUCCUUUAAGGCCUCAUUGGUGAACAAAACAACAUGAAGUGCGGUCUACAACCUGCUGCUCCGGAGCCACAAUUGCCUGUUUGGAGCUUCCAGUGUGACUCCCAAUAACUACGGCUAAAAUGAUAAAGAAUGAAGGUUUUAAAAUAAACAUUACAGGCAGG